rnacentral:tRNA from 1 species
GAGGGUAUAGUUCAGUGGCAGAGUGCAUGCCUAGGACGCACAAGGUCCUAGGUUCAAGCCCCAGUACCUCCA